AAGUGUUUUAUCCNUUUCGGCUAAAAUCAAGUGUUGUAUCUGUUCUUAUCAGUUUAAUAUCUGAAACGUCCUCAAUCCAAGGACAGUAUACUACAUGGAUGUUUGGAACAAGGAGAUGGAAUCGGAGCUUGUUCCGUCCACACCACCCAUCGACCUGCUACUGCGUUACUUCUAGGAAUGGUGCACCCUCC
ensembl:snRNA U2 U2 spliceosomal RNA